GCAUAUCAAUAAGCGGAGGAAAAGAAACCAACAGGGAUUGCCUCAGUAACGGCGAGUGAAGCGGCAACAGCUCAAAUUUGAAAUCUGGCCCUUGGGUCCGAGUUGUAAUUUGCAGAGGAUGCUUUUGGCGAGGUGCCUUCCGAGUUCCCUGGAACGGGACGCCAUAGAGGGUGAGAGCCCCGUCCGGUCGUGCCACCGAGCCUCUGUAAAGCUCCUUCGACGAGUCGAGUAGUUUGGGAAUGCUGCUCUAAAUGGGAGGUACAUGUCUUCUAAAGCUAAAUACCGGCCAGAGACCGAUAGCGCACAAGUAGAGUGAUCGAAAGAUGAAAAGCACUUUGAAAAGAGGGUUAAAAAGUACGUGAAAUUGUUGAAAGGGAAGCGUUUGCGACCAGACUUGGGCCCGGUGAAUCAUCCAGCGUUCUCGCUGGUGCACUUUGCCGGCCCAGGCCAGCAUCAGUUCGCCGCGGGGGAUAAAGGCUUCGGGAACGUGGCUCCUCCGGGAGUGUUAUAGCCCGCUGCGUAAUACCCUGUGGCGGACUGAGGUUCGCGCUCCGCAUGGAUGCUGGCGUAAUGGUCGUCAACGACCCGUCUUGAAACACGGACC
rnacentral:rRNA from 2 species